UACAGAGGGGGCAAGCGUUGUUCGGAAUUACUGGGCGUAAAGGGCGCGUAGGCGGCCUGCUAAGUCGAACGUGAAAUCCCUGGGCUCAACCCGGGAACUGCAUCUGAAACUGCAGGCCUUGAGUACUGGAGAGGGUGGCGGAAUUCCUGGUGUAGAGGUGAAAUUCGUAGAUAUCAGGAGGAACACCGGUGGCGAAGGCGGCCACCUGGACAGUUACUGACGCUGAGAUGCGAAAGCGUGGGGAGCAAACAGG
rnacentral:rRNA from 1 species